GCCUCGGUGGUGUACUAGUAGAUGUAGCAGUACUAGCACGCUCCCCCGGAGAGGAUGAAACGCGGGUUCGAUUCCCGUCCGAGACC